rnacentral:rRNA from 1 species
GACGAACGCUGGCGGCGGGCUUAACACAUGCAAGUCGAACGGAAAGGCCCUGCUUUUGUGGGGUGCUCGAGUGGCGAACGGGUGAGUAACACGUGAGUAACCUGCCCUUUACUUUGGGAUAACUUCAGGAAACUGGGGCUAAUACCGGAUAGGAGCGCCUGCUGCAUGGUGGGGGUUGGAAAGUUCCGGCGGGUGGGGAUGGACUCGCGGCUGAUCAGCGUGUGGGUGGGGGAGCGCUUUACCAAGGCUUGGACGGGUAGCCGACCUGAGAGGGUGACCGGCCACCUGGGGACUACGAGAGGGCCCAGACGGGAACGGGGGGCAGCAGUGGGGAAUAUUGUACAGUCGGGGGAAGCCUAAGGAGGAAGCGCCGCGUGCGGAAUGAAGGCUUUGGGGGUGGAAAGGGAGUAAGCCUGUGACGAAGGGUGAUUGACGUUAAUGGGUAAAGAAGCACCGGCUAACUACGUG